CUUUUAUCUCGAUUUUGUGCC
rnacentral:siRNA from 1 species